AACGUAGGAGGCAAGCGUUAUCCGGAAUUACUGGGCGUAAAGGGCGUCUAGGCGGACGGGCAAGCGCGAUGUGAAAGCUCCUGGCUCAACUGGGAGAGUGCGUAGCGAACUGCCUGACUAGAGGCAUGCAGGGGGAGAACGGAAUUCCUGGUGAGCGGUGAAAUGCGCAGAUAUCAGGAGGAACACCGUAGCGGAAGGCGGUC
rnacentral:rRNA from 1 species